AUUGAACGCUGGCGGCAUGCUUUACACAUGCAAGUCGAACGGUAACAGGCCGCAAGGUGCUGACGAGUGGCGAACGGGUGAGUAAUGCAUCGGAACGUGCCCAGUCGUGGGGGAUAACGCAGCGAAAGCUGCGCUAAUACCGCAUACGAUCUGUGGAUGAAAGCGGGGGACCUUCGGGCCUCGCGCGAUUGGAGCGGCCGAUGUCAGAUUAGGUAGUUGGUGGGGUAAAGGCUCACCAAGCCGACGAUCUGUAGCUGGUCUGAGAGGACGACCAGCCACACUGGGACUGAGACACGGCCCAGACUCCUACGGGAGGCAGCAGUGGGGAAUUUUGGACAAUGGGGGCAACCCUGAUCCAGCAAUGCCGCGUGCAGGAAGAAGGCCUUCGGGUUGUAAACUGCUUUUGUACGGAACGAAAAGGCUCUGGUUAAUACCUGGGGCACAUGACGGUACCGUAAGGAUAAGCACCGGCUAACUACGUGCCAGCCGCCGCGGUAAUAC
rnacentral:rRNA from 1 species